rnacentral:rRNA from 1 species
AGUGAACGCUGGCGGUAGGCCUAACACAUGCCAGUCGAACGGCAGCACAGUAAGAGCUUGCUCUUACGGGUGGCGAGUGGCGGACGGGUGAGGAAUACAUCGGAAUCUACUUUUUCGUGGGGGAUAACGUAGGGAAACUUACGCUAAUACCGCAUACGGCCUACGGGUGAAAGCAGGGGAUCUUCGGACCUUGCGCGAUUGAAUGAGCCGAUGUCGGAUUAGCUAGUUGGCGGGGUAAAGGCCCACCAAGGCGACGAUCCGUAGCUGGUCUGAGAGGAUGAUCAGCCACACUGGAACUGAGACACGGUCCAGACUCCUACGGGAGGCAGCAGUGGGGAAUAUUGGACAAUGGGCGCAAGCCUGAUCCAGCCAUACCGCGUGGGUGAAGAAGGCCUUCGGGUUGUAAAGCCCUUUUGUUGGGAAAGAAGAGCAGCAGGUUAAUACCCCGCUGUUCUGACGGUACCCAAAGAAUAAGCACCGGCUAACUUCGUG